UGUCCCGAGCUGUCUUGGCCCGGCUGGCGGCCACGUCCUCGCGCCGGGCAGCGGGCGCUCCCCGCCGUCCGAGGGCGCCGGGCCGCCGCGGGGCUGCCGCGCCUGGAUGCACCUGUUUCCAGAGUGGAGCGUCUGCCUUCGUCCUACCUGUGCACGAAGCAUGCCAUGGCCCGGGGGCGCACCUCCUGCAGAGCCGGACCUCACCUGGCCCGCCCCCAGUGCCCAGCCCGCAGCUCCCCGACGAGGAAGAUGGCCCAGCCCAGGAGUGCGCCCUGAGCGGCCGCCUCUGGUUCCCUGGCUGGGCAGGAGGGAGCCGUCACCAGUCUGAGCAGCCGGCCGGCCCGGCCCGGCCGCAAGAUGUGGGCAGCCCUUGUGUUCCUGUGCGUUUCCUCCUUGUCCUUGUCUGAAAGCCGGGUGGCGUCCCCCGAGGCACGGCCCUUCAUCCCUCACGGGACGUGGAACAAACUGGUCCAGCGAGAUGCAUCAGUGGGAACGGCUCCGGGGACCGAGAGUAAAACGCCGGCGCCGGCGCAAACCAGCGCGCUGACGGCGGGGGACUGUGGUGACCGGCCACACCUCCACGGCCAUCACGGCAGGGACGACAAACAGCACAACACACACGGCCCCGGCCACUGUGCAGGGGACGACGGGCGGGGGCGGCCUCCCGA